AUACCAGACUCCUACGGGAGGCAGCAGUGAGGAAUAUUGGUCAAUGGGCGGGAGCCUGAACCAGCCAAGUCGCGUGAGGGAAGACGGUCCUACGGAUUGUAAACCUCUUUUGCCGGGGAGCAACGGGGUCCUUGCGAGGGCCCAAUGAGAGUACCCGGAGAAAAAGCAUCGGCUAACUCCGUGCCAGCAGCCGCGGUAAUACGGAGGAUGCGAGCGUUAUCCGGAUUUAUUGGGUUUAAAGGGUGCGUAGGCGGAAUGCCAAGUCAGGGGUAAAAUCGCGGGGCUCAACCUCGCUCCGCCGUUGAAACUGGCGUUCUUGAGUGGGCGAGAAGUAUGCGGAAUGCGUGGUGUAGCGGUGAAAUGCGUAGAUAUUAGGAGGAACACCAGUGGCGAAGGCGGCUUGCUGGGCUUUUACUGACGCUGAGGCUCGAAAGCGUGGGGAGCAAACAGGAUUAGAUACCCCGGUA
rnacentral:rRNA from 1 species